AUGAACGCUGGCGGCGUGCCUAAUACAUGCAAGUCGAGCGAACAGACGAGGAGCUUGCUCCUCUGACGUUAGCGGCGGACGGGUGAGUAACACGUGGAUAACCUACCUAUAAGACUGGGAUAACUUCGGGAAACCGGAGCUAAUACCGGAUAAUAUAUUGAACCGCAUGGUUCAAUAGUGAAAGACGGUUUUGCUGUCACUUAUAGAUGGAUCCGCGCCGCAUUAGCUAGUUCGUAAGGUAACGGCUUACCAAGGCAACGAUGCGUAGCCGACCUGAGAGGGUGAUCGGACACACUGGAACUGAGACACGGUCCAGACUCCUACGGGAGGCAGCAGUAGGGAAUCUUCCGCAAUGGGCGAAAGCUUGACGGAGCAACGCCGCGUGAGUGAUGAAGGUCUUCGGAUCGUAAAACUCUGUUAUUAGGGAAGAACAAAUGUGUAAGUAACUAUGCACGUCUUGACGGUACCUAAUCAGAAAGCCACGGCUAACUACGUG
rnacentral:rRNA from 1 species